UAAGCGGGGAGGCUCCCGGGCCCGGGCUCCUCAACUCCUCCUCCUCCCGCCUUCCUCCUCCCGCCCCCCCGCCCUCCGCAGCUGCAGCUCCCUGCCGCUACUCGCCCUCCGCCGGCGCGGCCGGGCCCCCUGCCCUUCUCAGGGCUGGGCCUGACCUGCCGGGCUCGGCUCUUGCUGCCCGUUACCGGGCGGCGGCGGCGGCGGGGGAGCGGCCGAGCAGCGGGGCGCGGAGGGGCCGCAGCCCUCCCCUGGCAGGCGGCCCCUGCCCACGGGCCCUGCUUAGCGCCCCGCAGAACUUGGAGGUGUCAUGGCCCGGCUCCAGCGCCAGCCUCCAAGCGUGGCUGGGCUCUGCGGCCCUCUCGCUGAAGGAGAAAAAGCUCGAAGCUUUUUGUUUUUUAAGGAACCACUUGUACCACAGGAAAGCACGCUUUCUGUUCCCCCUUUUUGGCCCUUUCUUUCGCAGCUCUUUCUGAAGAAAGAGUGGAAAGCCGGGGAAGGGAGAAAGGUUUUGUAUCUAGUACAAAUCCUCAGAUCGUCUCUAUGCCAUCGGCUGUUUGACCAAACACCUGAAAUUUCUUUUUAUGAGGAAAAUCACUCCUUCCAAGCAGCAGGAAUACUGCUGAGGUUUCUACAAACAUUCAGACCAUCUACUGGAAUCUGGCUUCCUCUGUUGCUCCGGCUGAGAAUUAAAAGAAAAAAACCAAGCCCAAGCCCAAGGCCCCACAGCGCGCUGGUGAACGGAGGCACACGGCCCCGCGUGAGGCAGCUGCGGCUUCACCAUUGCCCCCCCCCGGAUGCUGCCUCAACACUUCGGGGGCCAUCGUUAGCGAUCAGCAAAACUUCCAGAACAUAAAAUGACAUUUAGACGCUGGUCAAAGACCUCAACUCUCAUCCAGCGAAACAUGCCAAGCAGGGUGGAAAUGCCAACCAGUCUUCCCUCAGUGUGCAUGUAGCCACGUGUUCACCUUCAUCCAGUGUGCACAGGUCAGUGUAGCAUUUUUCAGACUGGGAGGGCAAUUUCACUUCUAGCACGUACUGCUUUAUAGAGUGAAACGUGACUAAUUUUUGCUCCGUUCACUCUAGCAUUUCUUUCACAAUAGUUUCUGGAUCCUCUGCAGAACUUUUCACCAGGGAAUCUCAAGACGCAUGGAAAUGGGAGCCCAAAGAAGUGACUUACCAUGACUACAAAGCCUAUCUGAUGCAUAGCCAGGUCUCUCUGAUGCGUGCCAGAUACGUUCAAUGCUUGAGGGCAGGUCUGCUUCGAGGCAGGCUAGAGGAACGGACUGAUGUGAACCACAUGAAGUUCAAUAUGGACUACUGCAAAGCCGUGCACCUUGGUCAAACUAAUCCUUUACAGUUGCACAUGCUGGGCCUGACUGGCUACUCAGCUCCACUGAAUCAGAUCUGGGGGUCCUGGUGGGCAGGGGGUACCAGCAGCAUGCCCCAGCAGCAACUGAGGCUUGCAGCAUCCUGGGCUGCAAACAGGAGCAUGGCCAGUAGGUGAAGGAAAUGAUUAUUCCCCUUCACUUGGCAUUUGUUAGACUGCAUCUGGAAUAUCAUAUCCAGUUUUGGCCCCCCCGGUACAAGAAGGUCAUUGAUGAACUUGAGCAAAUCCAGUAGAGAGCCAAGACAUUUGGAAGCUGGAGGAUGUGUCCUGCAAGGAGAGGCUGAGGGUACUGGGCUCAUUUAGCAUGGAAAGGAGAACGGGUACAGGAGACCUAGUGUCAGCAUUCAAUACCUGCGAGGUGUUACUGAGAACACAAAGCCAAGCUCUUCACUGGAGUGCAUGGCAGGAGAAAGAGAGACAGUGGUCAUAAACUGAAACAGGGGAGGUUCCAACUGGAUUAUCAAGAAAGGUUUUUUUCCCCUGCAAGGACAAUGAAGCAGUCCAACAGGCUGCCCCCUGAGACGGUGGAAUUUCCAUCCUUGGAGGUUUUUAUGACCUGACUGGACAAAGUCCUGAGCAACCUAGUCUGCACUCAGUGUUGACCCUGCUGUGAGCAAGAGGUUGGACUAGAGACUUCCCAAAGUCUCUUCCAACCUGAAUGGCUCUAUGAUCAAGAAGCAUUCCUCUUAAAUCCCCUUAUCUCACAGAAGAUGAGGUUUAAUUAAAGGAUAGUAAAAUACUUUGAAAGAGUAUUACAUGAAAUACAGGUGAUUGUCAUGUAGUUCAGGUUGGCUGGGUUUUAAUUUUGAGGGUGUGAGUUUAGAAGAGCGUUGACAUAAAUACUAAAACAAACAUUCCAGCAUAGUCAGCAUUUUUCAACUACCAUAUUACCAGAGAAAAUGCUUAUAACAAAGUUUUUUUUAAACAAGAUGAAUUAAUCCUUACUGUAGAAGAAGCUGAAUUUCCUCAA